rnacentral:rRNA from 1 species
GACGAACGCUGGCGGCGUGCUUAACACAUGCAAGUCGAACGGAAAGGCCCUGCUUUUGUGGGGUGCUCGAGUGGCGAACGGGUGAGUAACACGUGAGUAACCUGCCCUUGACUUUGGGAUAACUUCAGGAAACUGGGGCUAAUACCGGAUAGGAGCUCCUGCUGCAUGGUGGGGGUUGGAAAGUUUCGGCGGUUGGGGAUGGACUCGCGGCUUAUCAGCUUGUUGGUGGGGUAGUGGCUUACCAAGGCUUUGACUGGUAGCCGGCCUGAGAGGGUGACCGGCCACAUUGGGACUGAGAUACGGCCCAGACUCCUACGGGAGGCAGCAGUGGGGAAUAUUGCACAAUGGGCGGAAGCCUGAUGCAGCAACGCCGCGUGCGGGAUGACGGCCUUCGGGUUGUAAACCGCUUUCGCCUGUGACGAAGCGUGAGUGACGGUAAUGGGUAAAGAAGCACCGGCUAACUACGUG